rnacentral:rRNA from 1 species
GAGAGAGAGACAUGCGCGCAUAUCAAUAAGCGGAGGAAAAGAAACUAACAAGGAUUCCCUUAGUAACGGCGAGUGAAGCGGGAAGAGCUCAAAUUUGAAAUCUUCAAGGUUUUACCUUGACGAAUUGUAGUUUAAAGAAGUGUUUUCUGCUGAAGUUUUGGUAAAAGUUCUUUGGAAUAGGACAUCAUAGAGGGUGAGAAUCCCGUAUUUGACCAUUAUUUUCAGCUUUGUGAUACACUUUCAAAGAGUCGGAUUGUUUGGGAAUGCAGUCCAAAAUGGGUGGUAAAUUUCAUCUAAAGCUAAAUAUUGGCGAGAGACCGAUAGCGAACAAGUACCGUGAGGGAAAGAUGAAAAGAACUUUGAAAAGAGAGUUAAACAGUACGUGAAAUUGUCAAAAGGGAAGCGUUUGACACCAGUGUUGUUUUCUCGAAAAUCAAUUAAAAAUGGCUCGAUUUUGUAUUGCUUGAGACCUUAAAAGCUCACUGUACAUUUUUCGUGUCUUUUUUAAUGCACUUUUCGUUUAACAAGUCAACAUCAGUUUCUUUUGUUGUAAAAGGGUCAUUGGAAGGUGGCUUUCUUUUCGGAGAAAGUGUUUAUAGCCUUUGGCCUCUGCAAUCGAAGAGACUGAGGUCUGCAGCGUAGACUCUUCGGGGUUAGAUACAUUUGUGCUAAGUUAUAGCUUUUUAUAGACAACUUGUUGACUAUAAUUAGUCUUGUAGCUUACUCGCUUAUGCUAUUUUACCUACGCUUAGGAUGUUGAAGAUGUAGCACAUCAU